rnacentral:ncRNA from 1 species
AUUAAGGCAAUGAUAAGGGGCAGUAAACAGCGCAACUCUGAAGAGAGCCGCCGGAAGGUGCGAGGCGGUGUGCCAGGCUGUUGAAACUCGCCUUUGAGCUGUCUGGGGGAAGGUUAUUACUCUAGAACGGUAGCGCACCGUUAUCGCGUAAAGAGGGCAAAGAAGUGGGGCUACGGCUUGUUACAGCAUACAGCCUUAAUGGUUAUGGAGAGUGAAGCGGACGGCAGUUAUCCGCCACUCAACAGGGUCGUGCUUUGCCAAAAAGGGUGGUACCGCGGGAGAACCUCUCGUCCCUACA